CCGUGACCCUUAAACAAAACAGACCGCGAACGAGUCACCCGUGCCGCCGGGCUCCGGCCCGGCACGCUGCCCCCCCCCCGAACCUCCCGCGGGGAAGGGGGGUGCCGCGAAAAAGAACCCACGGCGCCCCGGGCGCCAAGGAACACCAGUACUACCUCCUGCCCCGCGGAGCGGUCGGCCCGCCUUCCGCUCCCAGGGCAGCGGUUACACCUUAGUCGACACGACUCUCGGCAACGGAUAUCUCGGCUCUCGCGUCGAUGAAGAACGUAGCAAAAUGCGAUACCUGGUGUGAAUUGCAGAAUCCCGCGAACCAUCGAGUUUUUGAACGCAAGUUGCGCCCGAAGCCUUCUGGCGGAGGGCACGUCUGCCUGGGCGUCACGCCAAAAGGCACUCCCAACACCCCCCCGCGGGGCGAGGGACGUGGCGUCUGGCCCCCCGCGCCGCACGGCGAGGUGGGCCGAAGCAGGGGCUGUCGGCGAACCGCGCCGGGCGCAGCACGUGGUGGGCGACAUCAAGUUGUUGUUCUCGGUGCAGCGUCCCGGCGCGCGGCCGGCCAUUCGGCCCUAAGGACCCAUCGAGCGACCGAGCUUGCCCUCGGACC
rnacentral:rRNA from 1 species